GAUAAGGAGAGGAAGUUCGAGUUGUGCAGGUUCUCCCUUUUGUACACAACUCUGUUUCAGAGCUGAACCUCGGGAAGAGAUUCGGGGGCUCAGCCCGUAGCCCGUGCCUUGGGAACUAAAAGCUCAGUCAGUACAGACUAGAAGGACACUUCCUUAUAUCUGGGACAGGCUUAGGAGGAAGGCAAAAUGAAAUCCAAGUUGACAAGACAACAGGAAAGAAGAGGCAGAGCCCUUGCAGAGAACCUAAGGUGACUGCCAGAGAUGGAACUGAAGAAGGAAUUUUAAUUCAAAGGACUACAUAAUAAACUCUCUUGCUAAACUAACA